GAAAUAUUAAUGAAUGGGACAGUAAUUCCUAACGGACAGUCACAGCGAGCCGGGUCAGUGUAAGCCGGUACGGAUGUUAAGAAUGAAACGGACCCAGGAAAUGGUUUGCCGAAAAUUGGAGUAGGUAAAUCCGGUCUCACGACCGUUACGAAACAGAGGGGUUAAACCAGAGGUUUAACACUUAGAGUGGUACCGCGGGAAUUUUCAGCUCUCGUCUCUUUU
rnacentral:ncRNA from 1 species